UGGGGAAUAUUGCACAAUGGGCGCAAGCCUGAUGCAGCCAUGCCGCGUGUAUGAAGAAGGCCUUAGGGUUGUAAAGUACUUUCAGUCGGGAGGAAGGCGUUGAUAUUAAUACUAUCAGCGAUUGACGUUACCGACAGAAGAAGCACCGGCUAACUCCGUGCCAGCAGCCGCGGUAAUACGGGGGGUGCAAGCGUUAAUCGGAAUUACUGGGCGUAAAGCGCACGCAGGCGGUUGAUUAAGUUAGAUGUGAAAUCCCCGGGCUUAACCUGGGAAUGGCAUCUAAAACUGGUCAGCUAGAGUCUUGUAGAGGGGGGUAGAAUUCCAUGUGUAGCGGUGAAAUGCGUAGAGAUGUGGAGGAAUACCGGUGGCGAAGGCGGCCCCCUGGACAAAGACUGACGCUCAGGUGCGAAAGCGUGGGGAGCAAACAGA
rnacentral:rRNA from 1 species